rnacentral:rRNA from 1 species
AGGUAAUGAUUAAGAGGGACAGACGGGGGCAUUCGUAUUGCGGCGCUAGAGGUGAAAUUCUUGGACCGUCGCAAGACGAACUACUGCGAAAGCAUUUGCCAAGAAUGUUUUCUUUGAUCAAGAACGAAAGUUAGAGGUUCGAAGGCGAUCAGAUACCGCCCUAGUUCUAACCAUAAACGAUGCCAACCAGCGAUCCGCCUGAGUUACUCAAAUGACUCGGCGGGCAGCUUCCGGGAAACCAAAGUAUUUGGGUUCCGGGGGAAGUAUGGUUGCAAAGCUGAAACUUAAAGGAAUUGACGGAAGGGCACCACCAGGAGUGGAGCCUGCGGCUUAAUUUGACUCAACACGGGAAAACUUACCCGGCCCGGACACUGGGAGGAUUGACAGAUUGAGAGCUCUUUCUUGAUUCGGUGGAUGGUGGUGCAUGGCCGUUCUUAGUUGGUGGAGCGAUUUGUCUGGUUAAUUCCGAUAACGAACGAGACUCUAGCCUAGUAAAUAGGUGCGGGGUUCCCAGCACCUUACAACCUUCUUAGAGGGACAAGCGGCUCCUAGCCGCACGAAACAGAGCAAUAACAGGUCUGUGAUGCCCUUAGAUGUCCGGGGCCGCACGCGCGCUACACUGAAGGAGGCAGCGUGUUUUUUUCCCUGUCUGAAAAGACUGGGUAACCCGUGGAACUUCCUUCGUGAUUGGGAUAGGGGCUUGCAAUUGUUCCCCUUGAACGAGGAAUUCCCAGUAAGCGCGAGUCAUAAGCUCGCGUUGAUUACGUCCCUGCCCUUUGUACACACCGCCCGUCGCUCCUACCGAUUGAAUGGUCCGGUGAAGUGUUCGGAUCGUGGCGACGUGGGCGGCUCGCUGCCUGCGACGUCGCGAGAAGUCCACUGAACCUUAUAGAUCGGAA